AAAGUGGAGCAAUCCAUGAGUACAGUGGCGUUACGGGUGAGUAACACGUGGGUAAUCUACCUUUUAGUGAGGAAUAACCGAGGGAAACUUUGGCUAAUACCGCAUAAGCCUGAGAAGGGAAAGCAGAAAUGCGCUGAAAGAGGAGCCCGCGGCCGAUUAGCUAGUUGGUAGGGUAAGAGCCUACCAAGGCAGAGAUCGGUAGCCGGCCUGAGAGGGCACACGGCCACACUGGCACUGAAACACGGGCCAGACUCCUACGCGAGGCAGCAGUGGGGAAUCUUGCACAAUGGGGGAAACCCUGAUGCAGCGACGCCGCGUGAGCGAUGAAGCCCUUCGGGGUGUAAAGCUCUUUCGUCAGGGAAGAUAGUGACGGUACCUGGAGAAGCAGCUGCGGCUAACUACGUGCCAGCAGCCGCGGUAAUACGUAGGCAGCAAGCGUUGUUCGGAGUUACUGGGCGUAAAGGGUGUGUAGGCGGUUCCUUAAGUUUGCUGUGAAAUCUCCCGGCUUAACCGGGAGGGUGCGGUGAAUACUGAGGGACUAGAGUACGGGAGAGGAAAGUGGAAUUCCUGGUGUAGCGGUGAAAUGCGUAGAUAUCAGGAGGAACACCGGUGGUGUAGACGGCUUUCUGGACCGUAACUGACGCUGAGACACGAAAGCGUGGGUAGCAAACAGGAUUAGAUACCCUGGUAGUCCACGCCCUAAACGAUGCAUAUUUGGUGUGGGCAGUUCAUUCUGUCCGUGCCGGAGCUAACGCGUUAAAUAUGCCGCCUGGGGAGUACAGUCGCAAGGCUGAAACUCAAAGGAAUUGAC
rnacentral:rRNA from 1 species